CUUGUCAAAGUUCUUCUGUUGAACAUAACUUAAUAAACGAGGAAAGAACAAGGGUAAGGCGAGGAUUACAACAUCAUAUCAAUAUACAAUAUCAACUUUCACUUUUGCUAAAUGUUAAAAAUUAAUUAAUUGCUCCUACUGUCGUUCCUUUCUUAAAGUUAUUGCCUCCUUUUGGUUCAGUCCCUUUCUUUUUGUGCUUGAUGAGGUGCAAGUGUGUGUGACAACUCCACUUACAAAUUAAACUAGACAAAGUAUUACUUAAUGAACAAGGAAAAGAACAUGUAAAGUUAAAAUACUAAAACAUAAAACCUGAUAUAUAUGACUUAAAGUGAAAGACUUCUUCUUAAAACAAACACAAUGAAC
rnacentral:lncRNA from 1 species